ACACCACUAAGCUCUUUUAAUAGCUUUGGGUGUAUUCCAUCAGGUCCCAUUGACUUAUUUGUCUUUACUUUUGACAGUUGAAAUAGAACCUCUUCCUCUGUAAACUCACGUGUAAUAAAUAACUCAUUUAUCCUUUUUCUCAACUAAGGUCCCUUUCCUUCAUUUUCAUAUGUAAAUACAGAAAUAAUUAAUUUACAGCACUUUCAGAGUGUAAUGGUGUUGUGGAGACAGGCUCAGGCACCAAGUGUAGUGGUGUUGUGGAGUCAGGCUCAGGCACCGAGGGUAGUGGUGUUGUGGAGUCAGGCCCAGGCACAGAGUGUAGCGGUGUUGUGGAGACAGGCUCAGGGCACUGAGUGUAGCGGUGUUGUGGAGACAGGCUCAGGGCACUGAGUGUAGCGGUGUUGUGGAGACAGGCUCAGGGCACUGAGUGUAGUGGUGUUGUGGAGACAGGCUCAGGGCACUGAGUGUAGUGGUGUUGUGGAGACAGGUUCAGGGCACCGAGUGUAGUGGUGUUGUGGAGACAGGCUCAGGGCACCGAGUGUAGUGGUGUUGUGGAGACAGGCUCAGAGCACCGAGUGUAGUGGUGUUGUGGAGACAGGCUCAGGGCACUGAGUGUAGUGGUGUUGUGGAGACAGGCUCAGGGCACUGAGUGUAGUGGUGUUGUGGAGACAGACUCAGGCUCUGAGUGUAGUGGUGUUGUGGAGACAGACUCAGGCUCUGAGGGUAGUGGUGUUGUGGAGAUAGGCUCAGGCUCCGAGUGUAGUGGUAUUAUGGAGACAGGCUUAGAGACUAUGGUGAGGCCUAAUAGAAAGCAGUUGUUGUCAGGGGAUUCCAUCAUAAGCGGUGUGGAGCUGGACAAUAGUGGUCUUGUGAGAUGUCUUCCCGGAGCUACUGCUCACAGAGACAGGAGACGUACUUGUAAUAUUGUUAAGAGAGCAAAGCAGGAAGGGGAAUUGGAUAUACUUGUCCAUCUAGGGACAAAUGACUUGGC